ACGAGCGCUGGCGGCAGGCCUAACACAUGCAAGUCGAGCGAGUGUAGCAAUACACGAGCGGCGCACGGGUGAGUAGCGCGUGGGAAUCUACCCUGUGGUGGGGGACAACCUCGGGAAACUGAGGCUAAUACCGCAUACGUCCUUCGGGAGAAAGACUUCGGUCGCCAUAGGAGGAGCCCGCGUCCGAUUAGCUAGUUGGUGAGGUAAUGGCUCACCAAGGCGACGAUCGGUAGCUGGUCUGAGAGGACGGCGAGCCACACUGGGACUGAGACACGGCCCAGACUCCUACGGGAGGCAGCAGUGGGGAGUAUUGGACAAUGGGGGAAACCCUGAUCCAGCCAUGCCGCGUGAGUGAUGAAGGCCUUCGGGUUGUAAAGCUCUUUUAGCGGGGAAGAUAAUGACGGUACCCGCAGAAUAAGCCCCGGCUAACUUCGU
rnacentral:rRNA from 1 species